rnacentral:rRNA from 1 species
AGAGAUUGAACUAAAGAGUUUGAUCCUGGCUCAGAUUGAACGCUGGCGGCAUGCUUUACACAUGCA